GACGAACGCUGGCGGCGUGCCUAAUACAUGCAAGUAGAACGCUGAAGGAGGAGCUUGCUUCUCUGGAUGAGUUGCGAACGGGUGAGUAACGCGUAGGUAACCUGCCUGGUAGCGGGGGAUAACUAUUGGAAACGAUAGCUAAUACCGCAUAAGAGUAGAUGUUGCAUGACAUUUGCUUAAAAGGUGCAAUUGCAUCACUACCAGAUGGACCUGCGUUGUAUUAGCUAGUUGGUGAGGUAACGGCUCACCAAGGCAACGAUACAUAGCCGACCUGGGAGGGUGAUCGGCCACACUGGGACUGAGACACGGCCCAGACUCCUACGGGAGGCAGCAGUAGGGAAUCUUCGGCAAUGGACGGAAGUCUGACCGAGCAACGCCGCGUGAGUGAAGAAGGUUUUCGGAUCGUAAAGCUCUGUUGUAAGGGAAGAACGAGUGUGAGAGUGGAAAGUUCACACUGUGACGGUAUCUUACCAGAAAGGGACGGCUAACUACGUG
rnacentral:rRNA from 1 species